rnacentral:rRNA from 1 species
GACGAACGCUGGCGGCGUGCCUAAUACAUGCAAGUAGAACGCUGAAGGAGGAGCUUGCUCUUCUGGAUGAGUUGCGAACGGGUGAGUAACGCGUAGGUAACCUGCCUGGUAGCGGGGGAUAACUAUUGGAAACGAUAGCUAAUACCGCAUAACAGUAGAUGUUGCAUGACAUUUACUUAAAAGGUGCAAUUGCAUCACUACCAGAUGGACCUGCGUUGUAUUAGCUAGUUGGUGGGGUAACGGCUCACCAAGGCGACGAUACAUAGCCGACCUGAGAGGGUGAUCGGCCACACUGGGACUGAGACACGGCCCAGACUCCUACGGGAGGCAGCAGUAGGGAAUCUUCGGCAAUGGACGGAAGUCUGACCGAGCAACGCCGCGUGAGUGAAGAAGGGUUUCGGAUCGUAAAGCUCUGUUGUAAGAGAAGAACGAGCGUGAGAGUGGAAAGUUCACACUGUGACGGUAUCUUACCAGAAAGGGACGGCUAACUACGUG